rnacentral:misc_RNA from 1 species
AGUUCGCAACAUGCUUUCAUUCUCGUAUGUUCCCUUAACAUUCACCAUUAUUGUACUGGAGGCAUUACAUUUGAUUUCUUGUAUCGUUUUUCCAUUUCAAAGAAUACUAUGCUUUAUGGCUUUUUCACUUUGGAUGAAGUGUUUUUCUUUUAAUAUCAUUUAAUACAUGUGAUUUUAAUUUUUUUAAUCACUUCUAAUACUAUUUUGUCACUUAUCAUUAAUAAUAUGUUUUAUAUAGCUCUUGUAUAUUAUUAUAUGAGGCCAAAUGUUUAUUAAUAGCUUUUGUACAUGGC